GAUCCCUUAACUCAGUUGGUAGAGUGUCAGAUUCCAACGUGGAAUAACCCGCUCCAAGGAGCUUCCUGACGGUCGUGUGUUCAAGUCGCACAGGGAUCG
rfam:Trichosporon oleaginosus strain IBC0246 unplaced genomic scaffold CC85scaffold_36, whole genome shotgun sequence.